rnacentral:misc_RNA from 1 species
UUUAUUUUUAUUUUUAUUUUUUUACUUUGUCAAUAACUAUCCUUAGAUGAUAGAAGCAAUUCCUAUCUUGUGGAUAGAAGAACAAAGUGAAAACAAAGUAUUAAAAAAACCAAUCAUAUAAUGCGCCUUUAUUAUUAGAUUAUCAUGUGGCCUUAGUUAAUUUUAAGUAGUUCUUCUAGAAACCCCUACUUUAAUGCUCAAUUCACUGCUCAAACAUUAUUUAAGAAGAUAGUAGGUUUGAAUAAGUUUUAGUAGAAGAUUAUGUGAAAGUUUUUUUUUUUUUUAA